ACGGCCGUACCAUGCUGAAUAUACCGGUUCUCGUUAGAUCACCGAAGUCAAGCAUCAUUGGGCGCGGUCAGUACUUGGAAGGGUGACCACCUGGGAACACCGCGUGCCGUU